UCAGAUAUGGUGUAACGGCUAACAUUACUGCCUUUCAUGGGAUUGUAUAAGUGCGGUAUACGCAGUAGCUCGGGGUUCGAUGCCCCAUAUCUCAA